GAUCUGAUAGAGUUAAUGAUGAUACAAAACGCCCAGAUGCAUCAGGUGAUCAUGAACAACAUGACCAUGGCCGCACUGGCAUCCUUUGGAUUCAGCCCAGCUCCCGCUGCUGCCCAGGUGAACCUGGUCCCUCUGCACACUGAAGAUGAAGAAGCAGAUUUGGUAUUCCACCAUCACUACGCACCAUACCCCACUGCCACUCCCGCCCCCCCAUGGCAGCCCCUGGCGCAGCCUCCAGCUUGGGCACAGGAGCCCCCUAGCAUACGCCACGUCAGCCUGGACCCACACCCAGCCCCAGCAAGGAGGACUCAGGAUGACAAAGUGGUCCCUCCGCCCCCGCCGCCCAGCGCCACGGGGACAGUGGGAGCCGACGUCCCGCCGGCUGCAGAGUAUUAUGACUACACCCAGGGCAAGCUGUGAGCCUGGCUCUGUGCGUCCUGGGAGCUCUCCUCUUCUCCUGCACCCCCUGUCCCUGCCUGGCUCGGGGAUCCCUGCUGCAGCAGGCGUCCCCCCUGGCCCAGCGAAGCUGGUGCAUCGGGCCCUGACAGACCGCUCUGUCCUUCGUCCGCGCUCGUUAACUGGACUAGCUGUGGAAGCGACGGGCAACCUCCUGCUGCGUCCUCUCCCAUCCCUUGCCUCGCCCUGCCUCACCCCAUGGAGCCGGAAGGGAAGCUUGCCUGGACUCGCCUCUCAGCUUGCCUGGACUCCUCUGUCAGAUAUUAAGAAGGUGCUUCAUGGUCUAGCUGUUUCCAUGACGUGGCUGUCCCCUGACGUGGCAGCUUCUCCUGCCCCAGGCAGGAAGAGGUGCUAUUAG
rnacentral:lncRNA from 1 species